rnacentral:rRNA from 1 species
AGCAGCAGCCACGGUAAUACGUAGGUGGCAAGCGUUGUCCGGAAUUAUUGGGCGUAAAGGGCUCGCAGGCGGUUUCUUAAGUCUGAUGUGAAAGCCCCCGGCUCAACCGGGGAGGGUCAUUGGAAACUGGGAAACUUGAGUGCAGAAGAGGAGAGUGGUAUUCCACGUGUAGCGGUGAAAUGCGUAGAGAUGUGGAGGAACACCAGUGGCGAAGGCGACUCUCUGGUCUGUAACUGACGCUGAGGAGCGAAAGCGUGGGGGGCGAACAGGAUUAGAGACCCCAGUAGUCCCUGUCUCUUAUAC